UAUCUUAGCAACUGAUUUUUUUUCUUUUUUUUGGCAGUUGCUACGGUGCCCGAUGGCUUAAAGGCAUGAGAAUUACUGAAGGGAAGACCACACGAUGUGGGUCUCAUAUUGAUAGAAGUGGAUCUGCCUUCAAUAUCUGGGUCUCAAGCAGUGGUUGGGCUGAAGGUGAAUGUAAGGGAAAAGCCGGUUGGUUCCCAUUUAACUAUGUGGAAAGGCGAGAACGCUUGCGACCAAGGUGGCUGAAGUCUUCUGAGGUUACCCAGUACUGGAGCUUUUCUUACCUUUGUUUUUAUCAGAAAUUUUCGUCUCUUCUGUUGGUAAUCUAGUGGUUAAACAGUGGAGAUGACUUUUUUGUGGAAGCAUUUUGUCAAGAUGGAAGGAUUUACUUCACCAUUGCACUUAGACAUUUUGGAGAUGACUUCUCUGUUUUCUUUAUUUGUUUUGAAUGUUAAGGUUUUGGACACUGUAUGAAUUAUGUUGUACACGUAAUUUUAUUGACAGC